ACUCCUGCGGGAGGCAGCAGUGGGGAAUAUUGGACAAUGGGCGCAAGCCUGAUCCAGCCAUGCCGCGUGAGUGAUGAAGGCCCUAGGGUUGUAAAGCUCUUUCACCGGUGAAGAUAAUGACGGUAACCGGAGAAGAAGCCCCGGCUAACUUCGUGCCAGCAGCCGCGGUAAUACGAAGGGGGCUAGCGUUGUUCGGAUUUACUGGGCGUAAAGCGCACGUAGGCGGACUAUUAAGUCAGGGGUGAAAUCCCGGGGCUCAACCCCGGAACUGCCUUUGAUACUGGUAGUCUUGAGUUCGAGAGAGGUGAGUGGAAUUCCGAGUGUAGAGGUGAAAUUCGUAGAUAGUCGGAGGAACACCAGUGGCGAAGGCGGCUCACUGGCUCGAUACUGACGCUGAGGUGCGAAAGCGUGGGGAGCAAACAGGAUUAGAAACCCCUGUAGUCCCAUG
rnacentral:rRNA from 1 species